rnacentral:misc_RNA from 1 species
UAGAAUGGUGACAAACGAUGAUAACUAAGAAAACUAUAAAUGGGAUAAGGGUUUCGAGAGAAACAAAUACCUUUACAAAGGACAAUUGGAGGAGAUCUUGCAUCUACUAAAGGCAUGACUAGAAUAGGUGACAAAGGAAUAGGCGAUAAGUCAUCAGGACUAGCCAAAGUACCUAUAUCAUGAGGAGAAGUAUCAUUGGUGUUAGCAGGUGAA